rnacentral:tRNA from 1 species
GCAGUCGUGUCCGAGUGGUUAAGGAGAUUGACUCGAAAUCAAUUGGGCUCUGCCCGCGUAGGUUCGAAUCCUGCCGACUGCG